rnacentral:rRNA from 1 species
CAGACCUAAAAUUUAAAAGACUUGACGGUACCUCACAAUAACCUAGAGGAGCCUGUCAAAUAACCGAUACCCCACGAUUAACCCAACCCCCCCUAGCCAACAGUCUAUAUACCGCCGUCGCCAGCCCACCUUGUGAAAGAAAUAAAGUGGGCCAAAUAGCCACACGCUAAUACGACAGGUCGAGGUGUAACUUAUGAGGAGGACAAAGAUGGGCUACAUUUUUUAACACAGAAAAUACGAAUAAAAUAUGAAACAAUAAACUGAAGGCGGAUUUAGCAGUAUAUUAAGAAUAGAAUGCAUAAUAGAAAUCAACGCAAUGAGGUGCGUACACACCGCCCGUCAUCCCUGUAAACCUAACCCAAAUAUACAUAAUA